CCCUUGCCGCCGCCGCGAGCAGGGUGGAGAAGCAGACAGCCUAGAAGGGGGAAGAGGAGAAGAAGGAGGAGAGGAAACCAGAGCGCCGCCACCGAGGAAGCACCGUCGUCAAGCCGGUGCCCACCGAUCGACGACAUCGACGUCCCUAUUCUGCUCUGCUCUGCAUCGACGCGCCACGGUCUCGACUCUCCUCUGCGUCGCCUUCGUCUUCCCCAUCCUAACCGGUCCUGAUGAGAAGGAGUUGGCCGACGUUCUGAGCAUCCAGAGUAUCCAGAAGGACUUCCCCGACACCCGGAGAAUCCAGAAGGACGUACCGGACGACCAGAAGACGUCAGAGACCGAGGAGGACCACAAAGACCUAUCAGACUGAUAGAUGCAGGAUCCGAGUGAAGGAGUCGACAUGACGACGAAGGAAGAGUUAAGCAUGGCCCGAGCUACACUCCGAGUUGCCUGUGGAGAAGAGUAGUGAAGAUUGAGUUUGCCCAGAAGAUUAGAUAUUGUUUCCGCUUUUCUGUUUGUUUUUCUUUUAGCCCAAGGAACUUGUACUCUGAGACUCGUACUACAAUCCUUUGGAUUAUGUAAUAAAUAAAUCCGUGUAAUGUUUUA